rnacentral:rRNA from 1 species
GACGUAGGGCGCGAGCGUUGUCCGGAUUUAUUGGGCGUAAAGAGCUCGUAGGCGGCUCGUUGCGUCGGCUGUGAAAACCCGCAGCUCAACUGUGGGCUUGCAGCCGAUACGGGCGGGCUAGGAUUCGGUAGGGGAGAUGGAAUUCCCGGUGUAGCGGUGAAAUGUGUAGAGAUCGGGAGGAACACCGGUGGCGAAGGCGGUCUUCUGGACGGUGACUGACGCUGAGGCGCGAAAGCUAGGGGAGCAAACGGG